ACUCUGUUCCAAGAAUUCUACUCUUUUACAGAGCAUCUUUUUGAGUGUCUUGAGUUUAAUUGGAUUUGGAUCUCCACAUCGUUGGUGGAAGAAGGUUAUCAGAAUGGCUUCAAAAUUUGCGACCACAAUUGGCGACGUACGAAGGGACAAGGAAUUAAGGUGAUUGCUGGGAGCCUUGGGGAAUGCCAAAGCCUUGCACAUCAGAGAACACCAAGCGGCCGCUACAAUAAGGUAAGCAGAGUUUUUUUUUCUGCUCAAUGUUGGUGUUGUCUGAGUGCAGAGGGGGGUUCCACCUUGGCUCCGAGUAGAUUCCACCUAACCUUGAAAAGGACUUUAAUCAAAUGGUCGCUGUUAUUCUAAGUGAUAAAGUGUUACACUGUAAAAAUAAUGUUGCGGAUGCUGAAGGAGUGGAGUUUAAUACUGCAUCAUAUGUGUGUGUGUUAUUCCUGUAACUUGUGUGACCCGCGGGGGUAGUGUGAGUGAGCGCUGUAUGUGUGUGUGCGUAUUUGGGGUUUGUGUGUGUGAGAGGCUGCUCUGCCCUGUGCUGGAGUGUGACUCCAGGGCUGUGUUGGGGGAGUUUGGGUUUAUUUUUCCGCUAUUCUUUAGUGCAUCUGAAGAAUAGGCGUAAGUUGCACAGAAGUACAAAGUUGAAGUGAUGAAAAGUGAUGAAAAGUGAUAAAAGUGAUGAAAAGUGAAAUAUAUGUCGGCACCCCCAAGGUGGUUACCGCUGGAAACCUAGUUAUCCAUUUAAGUAGAUAAGGUGAUAUAGGCUAACUAGGUUAACCAUUUAAUUGGUUAACCUGGUUAACCCAAGUGAAUUGCUAGGUAGUCAGGACUGCUCGGCUUUGGGGGAUUUUUGGGGAUAAAUUCCUAGCCAGUAACGCGGGGACUUGGGGCUCACAGUAGGGAUCUGAGGGCUUUCGAGUCCACCGGUCUGGACGGGCUACAUGAAAUGCGCGCGUCGCGGAAUGAAAGGCGACACCUUCGGCCCAAGUGUAAAUAUGUAAAUAGCUGUUACUAACCUUUAAGUAUAAUCGCUGCUGUAAAUAUUGCUAAGAAGUAGUCUAGAGUAUAACAAUGUAUUGCUGUAAAUAUUGCUUAAAAUAACUCUUGCCGUAAAUAAGAGUUAGAGGAAUACGCGUAAGGGGUGGGUUUUGAUAAAUAAAUACGGAAAAGGGAAGUUAGUAGGUAGAUGAGUAAAAAGUUGUAGAGGGACUGAUUUGAGAGACUAAAAAAAACUGAGCUCACUGUGCUGCAGAGCGCUGUGUCUGCAGGCAGUUUUUGAAUCAUCCCUACGGUAUGUGGAGGAGUGAGAGGAGCAUCAGAGCAGUGAAAAGAGAUAAGUCUGCAAAAAUUAAGAGUUGUUGAAUAUAAAGAGGAAAAUAGACACUGCUGCUGAAAAAUAAUGUUGUUGUUUAAGGAAUUUAAACAGAAAGAUCUGUAGAAAUAAUAUUUGUCAAGCAGCAAUAUGAAGUAAGGGGGAAAAUUUGUGGGUAAAUUUCAGUAAAAGAAGAUAUUAAAUUACCAAAACAGGGAUAAUGAGUAAAUAGGGAUUGCAGGCACUUUUUUUUUGGAUUAUUAGCUUAAUAAAAGUAUGACCAAAAGUUAAAUAAAUUGGAAAUAGAGCUGCUUGACUAAAGUAAAAAAGGAUAACCUAACCUAGAGCUAAAUUGUAACAUAUCCAAACUAAUAACAGUAAGAAAGAGAACUAUAAAUUAAUUCUAAUAAUAAAACAUAGCUGGGAUAAAACUCAGGCCUAAAAUAAUUAGAGGGAAAGUAAAUAAAUCACACAAACAAAUAAUAAAUGAAACAGAGAGGUUUGUGUUGUGUUUGGAGAAAUAUAGAAGGUAGUGGUGAUGAUCUAAGAACAUCUGAACAUCUUAGUAAGGAAUGAGAGAUAGAGACCAAAUAAAAAGAACAUGUUUGGGCUACAACGGAGAUAAGAGAGUCAAAAGAGCUUCCAUAAAUCGAUCUCAGUAAAAUGCAGGAGUUGUAGAAGAAUCUAAUAAUGUCUCAGAGUUUGCAUGUGAAAUGUAUAUUGAGGGUUUGUUAUCACUCACCAAAGAAUAGUAAAUAAUGAAGUUUUGUCUGUUGUAGAGAGUUCUGCCGAGGGGUCAUAAACUCACCCAAAAGCAUACAGAGAGUGCAAGAGGCACCUGAGUAAUAUGAUGUGAAAUGAAUGAUUGUUGGAAAUAAAUUGUGUGAAGCUUAGAGGAGUUCAGAAUAAACAGGCUGACAUGUUGGGUGAAGUGGUCAUGAGGACAGAUAUGAACAAAUUAACAAUAAGAGACACCUGCUAGAAAUCUGUUUAAAAUGCUGCCGUCACAAAUAAGUAGUUGGGAAGAGAAAAGAAGGUAGACAGGUUUAAAUGCAACUAACUGAUAUAUCAAACCCAGAGCAUAAUAGCUAAAAUCACUGGAUGGAAAAUAGUGAAGUGAAAUAGAAGAGUUUUGUUGGAAAUGGUGGUUUAAUAAGUCAGAGAUUGUGACUUAACAAUUUCAAGUAAAGUUUAGCGCCUGUUGAGUGUGGCAGAGGGAGACAGUAGCAAAAAAAGGAAAAGUGUUGUACUGAGCUCACACCAGCUGAGCCGCUGCUGCAGGAGGCGGCCCGUAAACAGCAUCACAGGGUGUAGCUGGCUCAAGUUGCUCUGACUGUGGAGUGUGUGGGGUGGGCCCCGACAUCCUGCCAAGAGUGUCCUUGACCAGUGCACAGUGCACAGGCUUUCAAGUGAUCUAAGCCAAAUGCAAGUGUGUGAGAAGAAGAGUAAAAGACUGACCUGCAUGUCUCAAAGAGGUUAUUGUUAUGGUGAGCUUGUGCGAAGCUCAGAGGAGUCACCUGAGACAGGAAGCAAAAUAGUUUGCUUAAAAAAGAAAAAAAAAAGAAAAAGAUGUAACUUGUUUGUAAAGUUUAAGGCCCACAGCAGUGAAGAUGCUUAAACAAGUGAUCAAAUGCUGAGUACUAUGAACAAAAAACAACAAAAAUGUAAAAAAGAAUAGCGCCCAUUAGAGUGAGGAACAGGAAGAAAGAAGCUCUAAAUUUGAGAAUAAAAUAUUAGAAGAAACACCUGAGAGGAAAAUGAUAAGGCCAGUAGACUGGUUCUCAGGUAAAUUAAAAUAAAUAUAAUAAACUAUUAAAAUAAGAACAGGGAAGUAAGACAGAACUGAAUGACGGAGGGGCAUAAGACAUAACAGUAGAGAAGCAGUGGAAAGAAUUGAGAAUAAUAUAAUUCAGUGAGUAAACAAAAAGCCUAAGUACAAUGACAACUGAUUAGAGUGUAAUGGUAACAAUAACAAGACAGUAAUUAGAAAGAUGUAAUAAAUAAUGCCAUUAAAUGUAAUAGUAAAGUGAGAGGAAGAGUAGGUAAGAAUGAAAAGUGAUUACACUCAAGCACUGUAGAGAGGAAAAAAAAAAGGUUAAAUCUAAAGAAAAAGAUUAUUUGCUUGGGAAAAGAAAUAACAGAAAUAAAGUUGUGGGAUGCAUGGCUGGUUAACCUGCAGCUGUGGAUCAUUAGAAAUGCUGAUCAAUAAAAUAAAAAGCAUGAUUAGAUAUUGUAUGGGGGAAGGGAUUAUUAAAGGGAUCUUUUGUAUCUAAAACACUCGCCUUGAUGCUGGUCAGACUGUGUGUAAUCCUUCUUCUAUAGCUAUGAGAGAAAUAACAUCUAGAAAAGUGUCAGAGGUGCGUGACAUAAGAGGGCCUUAACCCUUUAAGGCCUCGAGUGUCAGGCUUGAAUCAGGAAAUAUUUAAGUUUUAAGAGUCCCAAAACAUCAGAGUGAUUUUUACCAUCCAAGAAAGUAAAUAAAUAAAUAAAUUGCACUUUAUACAUUUAAGGAAUAACUUGCAAAAUGCUGUCUUUAGCAAAUGCAAUAUGGUAAUUCUUACAUAUGCAAAAUUACUAUUGCUUUUAAUUUGUCAAGUUUAAUAGGUAUUGUGACAAAAUUUGGGGGUAAUUGUUUCAGGAAUCAGGGUUUUGAAUAGUGACAGCGUUAAUCCCACAGCUGCAUCUUGUCACUUACAGGAAAGUUGGGCAGAAAAACAUAAAACUGUUGUAUAUGAUAAUAAAGCCCCUAUGAUUUUGUUUUAGUUUUACAAGAAAAAUAAAAGCAAAUAUAGAUAAAUCUCUGCUAAAUCUAAGCUCCCUAAAUAAGCAGUGUGCAUCAUGCAGGGGGGAAAUACACAGGAGCAGGGUUUGGAGGGGAUGAUAUAGCCUUUGUUCCAGCAAAAGCUGGUAAUUAGAAAUAAAACACAUUAACCUAAAAUGCAAUAAGGAGAAAUCAAAAGUUGAGCCUGUGUAUUAAAAAACAAAACAAACAAAAAACCAUGACAAAAGUGAUUAUGGCUUAGAAGAGGAGAAGUAAACACGAGGAAGUUUGAGAUGUAGGAAGUUAGAUAAAGGAGCUGAAGAGUGAAGAGUGAUUAGACAGGUGGGACAAAGAAAGUUGUGAGUCAGAGGAAAGGAAGCUAAAUAAGAGAAUUCAAAGACCAGGAGUAAGAUAAUGGAGAGUAACAUGAGGUCGAGCUCACAGGCAAAAACAAAAGAAAAAAGUGGAGCAAAUGAAAACAGUUACUAACUGAUGUAUGCACAUACUUCAAACAACGAUUCUCCUGCUAUGGAAAAAAGAAAUACCUCCUUACAGAUGAAGGAGCUCACCAACUGAAGGGGAGAAACACAGAUCACCAGUGAAAGACACCAGGCCAUGAGCCUGUGGAGUAGAGCAACACUGGCACUGCGAAGGCCUACGUCACUGAUGAGGCCUGCACAAAGGUGGAGAGCAGGAGUCAGCUGUAUGACGACAUCCAAUGGCUGGCACAGGUGAAAGCCCAGGAACUCCAGAGAGGAGCGUCCAAGUGAAGAUCCACAAUUCAUGAAACCGAGUCUCCUUGAGUCCAAUGAAAGACUGUAUCUGCAGAGGGCUGGAAAAGUGUAUUAAAACACACUUUUAGUCAGCUGACAUACUCAUCAAUCUGCUGAGGACUGACAAUCGGUGGCCUCUAAGAGCCAACAUCGUCUGCAUCUGGGAUGUUCUCUGUGUGGAUGUUCCUGGAGAACUCCGAGAGGAAUGUGGGCAGCACCAUAACAACAAGGAAGUUACUGCCAAGAGAAGUCUUCAGUACAUGGACUGUGACUGAUACCAGAGUACUAUCCAUGAUAUCUGCAGUGAACAACAUGAAGCAGCUGCAUCAGUAACGCUCCCAACAAACUAAUAAGUUUAAAGCCCUGGGCUCCACCCCUUGUGUUACUCUCCCAGUAGAAAAAGAACACAAAUAAUAAGAACUAGGCCACAUGAAAGCAUUAGAUAGGAGAUUAUUAGAAAUAUAUUCAUUACUAACACUCUUACAUUAGAAUAUUAUUUAAGAUUAGGAAAUUUGAAUACAUAAAGGGCGCAGACAUGACUCCCACUGACACUAGAACAGAUACACACAGAGCAUUAGAACCCCAGUAGGGCAUGGGACAGAUAAGUAAACUUAGGGAAGUUAUUAAUCACCUUAUGAGCAUUGCAUUAUUGAAGGGAUGAAACUUACACAUGGGGAUUUACUAAAAACUGGGGUACUGAUGAAACUCGGGAUCCCUGGUAACAUGAAAUGAGAAAUUUAAACAUCUGCUGUUUCUGACCCUGGUACACUGCUCUUGGGUAUCCUCCUGACAUGUAUGUAACUGUGUGGGUGCAAAUGUGUACAUAUGUGUAAAUCUGUAUGCAGAUAUGACAAAUAAUCUGUCUUUUGUCUUUUUCAGUGCGACUACAUAUAGACCAGUGGCAGCUACCUCCGUUCAUGUGUUGAAGCUAAUAGUAAGAUGCUAGCUCUAAACGUGCAGCACUAAACCAUCCAUAGUGCGAUAAUUCAGUGUGUGUGCAAUUUGUAGUUACUUUCAAAUGGAAGAAAGAUAAAAAUGAAUGCAGUGUGGAGGAGAAAGCAGUGAAGGAUUCUGUCAUAAUCUUAACUGCAUUGGGAAAAGGGGGGAACAUAUAGCUUAGCAGAGCUAAAUUGUUAACUCUCCCAAAGAAUGAACCAAACAAAAAAAGGAGAAAAUCUAAAUUAUCAGAUAUUUUGGAGGGAAAGAGGCUAAAGCCUGAUCCCCUAUAAAAUGAGCAAACCUCAAUUUAGAAAAAUGGGGCCUAAAUUAUCUUUCCUGUGUGUGGCAGGGUCCAGUUGUCUGUGGAUUGACAUAUUUAAAUUACUCAAAUGCUUACUCUAGCAAAAACUGCAGAGCUAAAUGACUCUAUUCUAGUUCUAUUCUAGUUCCAGUGUGAAGAGGUAGAGUUUGAAGCACUGAGGAGGGACAUGCAGUCUGACCGGGCACAUGGCAACCAAAAGGAAAGAGAAGAACAUUUCAUUGGUAUGGGGCAAACUGAGAAGAUUAAGCAUCACUCUGGGACAGGACUUUAGAGAUAUUGCAGAAAUUGAAGAAAGCAGUCCUUAAUAUUCGCUUAUUAGCACAUAUUGGGAUAAAAAAAUGACUCCAGGAAACCUCACAGUGUUAAUGGAGACCAAGGUAAUGCCAUUCAGAGCAUUCCUUUAGGUUGACUGACAGGUGUGUGUUGUUUGGCUUCAUGGAUGAAUGAGAGAGAGGGUGUCAUCAGCACGGCAGAGGUAUGUUGUGUCUUUUGUGGUGUUACCUGAAGGAGGCAUGUGUUAUGUAAAUAGAAAUAGAUCCUGGUGUGAAACCUUGUGAAGCUCAAUGGUUAGUCUUGUGUAUGUGGGAGGAUUCUUAGAAUAACAUGUUAUGGUCACAAGUGUCGGACAUAGAGAUCAAUCCACUGUCAGAGGCCUUAAGAAGAUCAUUUUUAACUUUCAUCAAAGCUGUCUCUAUACUGUGAUGUGCUCUGAAACCUGACUGAAACUCUUUAAAUAAGGCAUUCCUCUGUGGCUAUUUUACAGCAUCUCUUGUGGGGAUUUUUGACAUAAAGGAAAGUUGGAGAUUGGCCUAUAAUUGGCUAGGACAGUUAGGUCAAGUGAUGGUUUAACUACUGCCAAUAUGAAGAACUGUGUGGUUAAUAUUGCAUUGUCUAACUUAGCUUUGAAAAUUUCAAUUCUGUGGCUAUAGAGGUGUGGGAAGUUUGAUCAGCCAUAUAGCCAGCAACACUAAGUAGAGGGCUAAAAGUGUUAAUGAUGAAAUGUGAAUUGGCUGGUAACAGAGUUAAUGUUUAUCCAAAUUCAGCAUAUAAAUUUGACAUGUGCUCAAAUAGUGUUUAAGAACGAAGAAGAUCUUAGAGAAGCCAACAGAGCCCCAAUACUGUAUGAAGAAGCAGUAACUCAGCUCCUAGUCGCCCUAAAGCUCCCUGGUGCUUUGGCUGUGAUUAGAUGUCUUGAUCACCAGAAAACAGACACAUGAAUGGCUAAAUGAAACAACAUGUUAGAGCUUUACUAUGCACUUCCUAAAUUGAUAGCUAGGUAAAGAUAAGUAAAGCUUUCUCUUUAUAACAGCAUUUGGGACAAACAUUUCAAGGUGCUCCACAAAAUAAAGCAAUGAAUUGGAAUUUGUUAAGGAAGAGGUCAACUGGGUACAAAUAUUAACUCUAGUACUAAGGUGCAUGCAGUUGUGAACUAACAAGACUACAACAACUAACACUGCAUGGCAUACUCACAAAUGUCCAUAGAUAAGUCCUCAUAAAGGGCCUGUAUUGCUAACUGUGAACACAACUAAUGCAGUCUGCAAAGCUAUCUUUCUGCAGGAGAUGGCUUCUGGAUGGCAGAUGGAGAUGCAGAGGUCCUGGAGCAGGUGCUGGCAAUCUGAUGACGAGUGCGAGGGAACAACGGGGUGAAACAGGCUGCUCCAGACAGCUGAGCCAUGACCCAUCCAGCAGCUGUUGAACCUGCUGCAGAGCCUACAGCCCAGGUGGAGCUGUACAGUGCCCAAACCAGCUUCCGAAUGAUGGAUGUGCAAGAUCAACUACUACCCAUCGCCGACCCUGACUUUAAUCAAGAGUAGGACCAAGUCGUCUCGAGUAUUCUUAGAAGCUAUGCAAGAUCCAGCAGUCAAGAAGUACCAAGAGAGACUUUUCUCGGACUCAUAAAUUGGUUGAAAUAUGGACUGAAAAAGGGACA